CGUCACGAAAGUUGGUAACACCCGAAGCCCGUGGCCUAACCCUUGUGGGGGGAGCGGUCGAAGGUGGGAUUGGCGAUUGGGACGAAGUCGUAACAAGGUAGCCGUACCGGAAGGUGCGGCUGGAUCACCUCCUUUCUAAGGAGCCUAUUUUCUCCUCGGUUUUUGUCUAGUGUUCGAGGGGGCCUCAUGGAUUGAGUGUUUGUGGGGUUGGGUUUUCUAGUGGAACAUGGGAAGUUGGCAUGCUGUUGGGUUCUGGGGUAACACCCUGUGCUACCUGUGAUCAUGUGCGGCCGUUGUGGUUGUGUGUGGUUGUGGUGUUGGUGUGGUGGUUGAGAAUUGUAUAGUGGACGCGAGCAUCUUUUGGUUUUUUGUAAGUGUUCAAGGGCGUUCGGUGGAUGCCUUGGCACAUAGAGCCGAUGAAGGACGUUGUUGCCUGCGAUAAGCCUCGGGGAGUUGGCGAACGAGCUGUGAUCCGAGGGUGUCCGAAUGGGGAAACCUGGCCAGAGUUGUUUCUGGUGACCGCUGCCUGAAUGUAUAGGGUAGUUGGGGGUAACUCGGG
rnacentral:misc_RNA from 1 species